rnacentral:misc_RNA from 1 species
UGCUCACGCCAUUUCUGCCUUUCGCCCAUUUCUCUCUUAUCACACCCGCCCCUCCGCCAGCCCUUCUAUUUCGGUUGAUCCUCAAACGCUUCGCUUUAGCCUCUCAGAUAGUAUUCACCAUGGUCAUGGCAGGCAGGGAGGACGCUGUUGCUGCCUACUGCGCAAACCUCGCGGUGACGUACGAACGUCUGGCGCACGUGUUGGCGGUUCCGCUUAUCGAUCAUGAGCUGUACUCUUGCCUGUUUCUGCAUCCCCUGCUCCACGAGCACUGUGUCGAAGCGAGGGGGCUCUCUUUCAACGGUGCUGCAGCGAGUGCGGCGACCUUCUCGCCGAAUGCUUCGGCUGUGGAUCACCGCGGUGAUGCACUCGUCGCACUUGGCGGCACGGAACUUGUAGUGGCGGCGUUGCGUGCUCAUGAGCAGCAGACGCUGCUGGUGAUGCAGGCGAUCGCGUUGCGGGAGAGUGUGAUGACGCGCAUCUGGGCGUGCUGCCGUGCCUACAACGACGGCCAGGCCAGCUUAGAAGAGGCGCAGCACACCGUGCUGUGUUUGCUGGAGGAGCACCAAAUUGUGACAAUGCUCACGGUGGAGUCGGUGGUGGAGUGGCGCCAGGCGCUGAGCCGGCCGUACCCAUUUCUGCUAAAAAACGGCGACAAUUACCUGAUGAACAUCGUGCAUGACUGUGCCGCACUGGGCACCACUGCAGUGGUGCGGUCGCUCUCGCACGUGCACCUCGAGCGCGAUCCUAUGUGCGCCAGCGUCGAUUUACGCCGCUUGCUGCAUCGGCUGGAGAUCAAGCAUCGCACCCGCCUCGUGAACUCUGGCGCCAUGUGGAAGCUUGGGUUGCACCCUAUCCGGGCCAUCACCUCGAGCCGGCUGCCCACUGGCAGCGCGUGUGGCAGUUACGUCAGUGCGGCGCCACCGUCAACGUGCACAUCCCCUAAAGCGCACGGCGGCGCACCUGAGACGCAGCCCUACGCGGGCACUUCACUGGACUUUCUCACCGAAGUGACGCGGCUCGCCGAAGGCUUGAGCAAGGCAGGCGGCAGACAUUGCGCACCGCAGCCUCUCCCAUCCGCCUCCGCAUCCACCUCUUCGAUUGCUGCGGGUGUCUCUAGCAGCUCGGGCGCUACCGCAGCGCUUCACUGCCUUCCUCUUCCCUCGCCGCGCGGAGACGCUGCGGUGCAGCAGGAGAAGCAGCGUCGGCUGCUCACUGCGACCCAAGUGCUGGAAAAGGAGGCGUCUGUGCAGCGCAUGCUGAUCAAGGACCUCUACGAUUUGGCGCACGGGCAGGAGCGCUUUGUGCCACUGUUGGACGUGACGGGGCUAUUCAAACCGCACGACUGCGGAACAGCAGAGAAGGACAUCCCGGCAGACAGCUGGCCUCUCGACAAGGCAGCGUGGCCGUCCCUUGCCACGAUGGAGCGGCGCGUGGACCGGCUGAGCUGCAUGUCGACGGCACGAGAGGAGCUGCAGGCGAAGCACCUGCUUCCUGCUUGGGAGCGCCGCAUGAGCAACAGCAUUGCGGAUUUAGCCACGUCAACCGGAACCCGCUCUUCGACCCAUACCACCUCCCUCUCCUUGCCCGCAGAGGGUUCUCGGGCGCCCCUUCAGCCGAUGCCCACUCGGGCAGCUCCGCGCGGCUCGGUCAUGACGACGACGACGCGCUCCUCUCGCUGCGCAGACUCGCUGGAGUCAAGCGACGACACUGACAACGAGACCUUCAGGAUGCAGCGCGAACACACGAGCCCACCGAGGGAGGAUGCCACGUCUCACGCCACAUUCUCCCCCGCCUCCCACUCAUCGACCCCGGGGUUUCCCUCGUUGUCUGCGGUAGCGCGCGCUCCAACCGUGGCUGCUUCCCAAGCCAGGCAUGCGUCUUCGAGCUCUUCAUCGCUAUAUUCGUCCAGAGUUACGUCUUCAUCUUCGUCUUCACAAACGCCGUCGCGCAAACCGUCGCUCGAGGAGCUGCGCCAGCAACUGCUGACGGAGAACGGACUCAACUCCGGCUUCGCGAGUAUGAGUCGCUAGAGCUGCAGUCGCGGGUCUUUGCCACUACCCUUCCCCGGAAAGGAAGGCGGGGGAGGAGUUGCUGCGGCAUCGCGCGUUGCCUGGAUGUGAGAGGGUGACCGACAAAGCCCCCUCUCACAUCCCGAGGAAAGGGUCGCGGCGGCAAGAGGGACGCAACGCUCGCCAUGAAGUGCAACUCCUUCCUUUCCCUUCGAGCAUCGAACCUCACAUGCAACUCGACCCCCCCCCCUUCCCCCGCGCCUCCCCUCGCUCGACGCACAUCAGAGGCAGAGGGAGAGAGAGGUGCCGCGUUGUGCAGUGAGGGACACGCGCGCACGGACGCGGAGACCGGCGGGACACAUGACGAGCACAAGAACCAAAAGAGGUCUGCAGAGAUGCAAGACCCACGAGGAGAAGGCAAGCUCACCCGCACGCCACCACUUCCAAUCUUACUAUGCCGCAAGAACCGUAAUCUGAAAGACCACAUCAGGUGCCGCGAGCAUGAGAGUGGGACGGAUGUGGUUAGAAAAUGAAUGAGUGCCAUGCUCCACACCUCUGCAAUGCUCAUGGCGCAUGCUAUGGGGGUCUUGCCGAAGCUUCUCGUCUCAUAUGUGCGCGUGUCUGCGCAGAACGGGGCGUGAAUGCGCCAGUUCAUACUGACGCUAAUGUCACGCGCAUCGAGAAUGCGGGGGUGUGGCCGCACUGGGCACUUUAUCUUUCUCCAUGCGCGUCUUUUAGGCACCGGCACACACACUUUUCGGGCUCACCGCAUUUCUUUUCUCCUCCGCCGCCUCCUCCUUAUAG